AUGGUGGUUCUCGGAAAACAUGGCGGAAUUGAAAAGAGGAAAGCAGAUGCGGCUGCUGAGGCUUGGACAAAUGUAGCUCUCUGUCCAGGAGUCUGUCGUGAAGAUGAAGGGCAGAAAGCAAAAGGCAGCUUCCUGCUCCCAGCCUGGUGCUGUGCGGAAUCCUCCAGGUUUGCUUCCAAGGAUUUGAAAACAAAUGGUGUAGGGGAUAUGUCUCAACCCAUUCCUCUGUCCCUGGAGACACGGUGGGGCCUCCAUCAGGAUUGGCCGUCAGUCCAGCUCCACCCUGCACACGCAGAGCCCCUCCGCCAGUGCUCCCUGCCCAGGGCUCCCACAGGCUGGCUUGGCCUGCAAGCAGCUGGCAUCCUGGCUGUUGGCAAAAGUGACGUCCACUCGCGAGAGGGACGCAGGUCGUCCUGGGGCUGCUCCGAGACUCUCGAGGGAGCUGGGAGAAGCUUUUUCUACCCAGUGGGUGCAGUCUGUCAUGGGAGCAACAGCUGCAGCAAUGGAAAUGGCUGGGGAGGCGUUUUCAAAGAGGGCGGGCUGGCGAGAGGAUGAGGCUCUCGGCCGCUCAACUCUUCUCACUUGACUUUUCUUGCCCUCCUGCCUCACCGCCGGGGGUCAGUCCCCUGAGCAGGGCGGAGCUCCGGAUGCUGUCUUUCCUGUCCCCACAGCCCUGGGCCCUGUGUCUCAGAGCCGUGGUCCAAGCAGGGGUCUCACCUGAGGAGGGAGAAGGGAGCUGCGUCAGAAUCACCUGGGCAGUUCUUUCCACCCACACCCGCAGCCUCCGGCGGAUGCCCAAGCCCGGGAGGGGCUGGACACAGACGCCGCGGUGCACUCUGCUGCGGGGCCAGGAACCAGGCUGGCGCAGGCGGGGGAGGUACCACUCAGGUGAUGCUCCCUUCUCUGCAUCUCUCUGUCACUCCUUGUUCGGUCUUCCGUCUUUUUAAACUUAUUUAUUUUUAUUAAAAACAAUUUAGUUCCUCCUGGAGUGUAGCUGAUUCAGAAUGAUUCAGAAUGUUGUGUUUCUGGUGGCAGCAAUGCGACUCAGUUAUUCGUGUAUAAACACAUACACAUCUGGGCUUCGCACCCCCCAAGGCUGUCGAGCACCUUCCUCUCCCUCGGAGAUUCCCGGCCCACCCCCACCCCAGGCACGUUUCCCCCGGUAGGACACCGGCCACACCCAUCGGCUGGGCUGCCUAGACGGGGAGCUGCCGUCAGCUCAGUCACUCAGUCAUGUCGGACUCUCUGUGACCCCAUGGACUGCAGCACGCCAGGCCUCCCUGUCCAUCGCCAAUUCCCAGAGUUUACUCAAACUCAUGUCCAUUGAGUCGGUGAUGCCAUCAAACCAUCUCAUCCUCUGUCGUCUCCUUUUCCUCCCNNNNNNNNNNNNNNNNNNNNNNNNNNNNNNNNNNNNNNNNNNNNNNNNNNNNNNNNNNNAGGUGGCCAAAGUAUUGGAGUUUCAGCUUCAGCAUCAGUCCUUCCAAUGAACACCCAGGACUGAUCUCCUUUAGGAUGGACUGGUUGGACCUCCUUGGAGUCCAAGGGACUCUCAAGAGUCUUCUCCAACACCACAGUUCAAAAGCAUCCAUUCUUCGGCGCUCACCUUUCUUUAUAGUCCAAUUUUCACAUCUAUACACGACCAAUGGAAAAACCACAGCCUUGACUAGACGGACUUUUGUUAGCAAAGUAAUGUUUCUGCUUUUUAAAAUGCUGUCUAUGUUGGUCAUAGCUUUUCACCUCACACGGAGCCUGAGUCCACAUGGAAGCUUUGCGAAGAUCAGCCUCAUGCUCGGGGCUCCCGGCUGUUCCACCAUGUGCACCUCAGUUGCCUCGUGCGUAGGGGGUGGCGAUAGUGCUGGCCUCAAACAGCUGCUGUGACGGGGAGGGGGUUAAUGUUUGCAAAGGUCCUACAAGGUCAAAAGCACAGGGCACCGUGCACUCAUGGGGCAGCGAAACGCAGGACAAGUGGGGCUCCCCGAGGACGCAGGCUCGUCCAGGGCUGUGCACCCUGGCGGGGCCAACCUGCUCCCACCCCCCGGCCACCCCUACCUGGGGACGGAGGCGCUCGGGAGCAGCAGCUGCGCCCACCCCUCGGGCUGAAUGGGGUCCAGACCCCGUCUGCCCUGUGGCUCCAAGUGCCAUGUGCUGGCAUCUCGUCCACACCUGGUGGCACACGUCCCCCAGGUUGAGGGACAGGGACAGGAGGGUCCUGGCUGAGGUGCCGCCUCUGUGAGGACGAGCUCCGGAGGUGACAGCGCCUGCCCCUCCCGGGCCUGGUGCCCCCUCCCCGGCCUCCUGGCCGCAGCCUCUCUAGUCAGCUGUCCAGCAGACGCUCACUGGCAAGCUUCGGAUACUGAAAGGACAAAACUGGAUGCUGAGCAUGGUCCGUGGACUUGGCCCUGGAUGUCAGCAUGGGAAAGUCAUCAUUUGGAAAGCAAGCAAGUUUCGGGUUGGGGGCAACGCAGGACUGAGAGGAGUGGGAGGGUGGGGUUCGGUGUGCCCCCCACCCUGAAAGAAAGAAAAGAAAGGGAAGUUGCUCAGUUGUGUCCGACUGUUUGUGACCCCAUGGACUAUAGUCUACCUGGCUCCUCCAUCCAUGGGAUUUUCCAGGCAAGAGUACUGGAGUGGGUUGCCAUUUCCUUCUCCAGGGGAUCUUCCUGACUCAGGAAUUGAACCCAGGUCUCCGGCACUGCAGGCAGACGCUUUACCGUCUGAGCCCCCAGUCAAGCCCCCACCCUGAGGACUUCCCAUUUCCCAUUUAGAUGCAUCUCAUCAGUGGGUGCAUGGCCAUUACGUCUGGCUCACAGAUGCCAGGGAGGCUGAGCGCCUCCCGUUUUCCCCGUGAGUCUCGCAGCAGAGUGCUGUGUCCAUUCACAGUCACACAAUUUGCAUCCCUCAGAGUCAGGGUUUGAACCCAGGCCCCACGCCAGACCCCUGGCUCCCGCCUCCCUCCACUCUGCUUUGUCCAUAAGAAUCAAUAUAACCACGACUCACCGAUUUACAGAAAACCAGCCUGAUUUGACCGGACUUGAGCUGAGACCUUUAGAAGGAGCAGCGAUGCGCACUUCAAACCUCCCUGGAAAUGCACACCGCCCAGUCCACUCCUCAUCCUUGGAGCUGGCUUCCACAGCAGCCCUGCUAAGAAAUGCAAGUCACAGGGGAGGGCCGCUGAAAUGCUGAAGGCGCUGCUGAGCGCGCUGCAAGAAAUCAAAGUUCCCCAACGUUGCCAGCUCGGUUACGCUGCCAGGUGCCAGCUUGUGGCAUUUCUGUCAGAAACCCAGCUGGCAUGAAAGUGGGUUUUUAAUCCAGCCUGGAGUAGCCUCCCGCACUCAGAAAUUCUUUGCCUGACUCCAGAAGUCUAAACCCGGCCUCGCUUUCCCCGGAGGGAGAGGAGGCGGGGAUGACAAAAGCCAGCCCCAUUCUAGGAGCCGGAUUAAGGCACCCCAAGACAGGUUGUGGGGUGUGGGGGGUAGUUCUGCAGCCUUCCCUAGGACCCCAGCCCCUCCUGGACGAAAAUGACAGCUUUGUGGGGCGGGAGGAUUAUUUAACUUGGCAUUUAAGCACAGUAUAAAAACCAGAGAGGGAAAUUCUUUGGAGAAAUGGGAUGCAACUGAAUUUAAGAGAAAUAAAAUCUGUGGCCAGGGUUUCUGCCUCCCUUUGCUCCCUGCCCCGGCCUCCCCAGCCCCCCACCCCCCAUAUCCUGUCCAGCCUGCAGGCCUGCAGAGUGGUUCCCCUGCAAUCUCAUGAUACAGCCUCCUGCUCAGAAGAGUUCGGCUCUUCCCCUUUGCAGGCAGAAUCAAGUCCAGGCACCUCAGUUUGAUCCGUCCUUCUUUUCUUCCUCAAAUACAGAACAUUUUUAAAGUUGACAAUGAUGGCUACAGCCAUCCCAGCCUGCUCCUGCGCUGUUUCCACCCCCCGGCCAGCCACUGGAGCCUCAGCUGGGGCCCAUCCAUGUGCAGGGACACCAGCCUGCAGCCUGGGCCUGGCCAGGGUCCUUGAAGGACAAUUGAUCACUGGGGCCUCCCUGGUGGCUCAGCUGGUAAAGAAUCUGCCUGCAGGGCAGGAGACCUGGGUUCAAUCCCUGGGUCGCGAAGAUUUCCCCUGGAGAAGGAAUGGCAACCCAACUCCAACAUUCUUGCCUGGAGAAUUCCACGAGGAGCCUGGCAGGCUACAGUCCAUCGGGUCGCAAACUAACACUUUCCCUUUCACAUUCUCUAAGGCUUCCCACGAGGUACUAGUGGUAAAGAACCCGCCUGCCAAUGCAGGAGACAUGAGAGAUGCAGGUCUGAUCCCUGGGUGGGGCAGAUCCCCUGGAGGAGGGCGUGGCAACUCGCUCCAGUAUUCUUGUCUGGAGAAUCCCACGGACUGAGGAGCCUGGUAGGUUACAGUCCAUGGGGGUCACAAAGAGUCGGACAUGACUGAGCGACUUCACUUCACUUCAAGGUAACCUGAGGUCAUUAAGGUCUGCCUGGAUCCAAUCUGACUGGUGUCCUUAUAAGAAAAGGAGGUCAGGACAGACACACAGAGGGACGAUCACGUGAGGACACAGGGAGGGGACAGUGUCUACAUGGGGAGGACAGGCCCCAGGAGGAACCGGCCCUGCCCACGCCUGGACCUUGGCAUCUGUCCCCACGGGUCUUCCCUCCUCACUCGGAGGACGAGCAGAGUGCAGAAGGCCAUCCUCAUCCUCCUCUGGACUAGCAGGGACGCGGGAGAGAGCCCUGACAGCGGACACACCCUGACGCCUGCCCAGAGUGGUGGGCCUGGCCCUCUCCAGCCACCCGGGUCCCUAAGGAGCCCUGAGCAUCACUCGUGCCCACAGGUGCCCCCGUCCUGAGGCCAAGUCUCUGGCCCCCAGUGAGGCAGGGGCCUGGGGAAGAGCAGCUCCGAGGAAGGGCGGGGGCCCAUGUCCACUUUCAGAGGCCCCCAGCCUCCCUGCCCCAGGACAGCCCAUCCUGGCUCCUCAUGCACGCACACCCGCCCUUGAUGCCCCGGCCACACCCCUGCAGGAGAGGUGCCACCACCAACUAAGGGAACAGCGAGCCGGAAGCCCACUCCAGUUUGAAGAUGUCAGCAUCCCAGUGGAUCAAAAGUUGAGCCCGGAGGCUGCUGUCAGCUCCUCAAGCACGUAACUUCAUACAGUUCCCGAGACCGCGGCACAGGGCCCACGGCGGAGGAGCGCGGGGAGGCGGGGCGCCUUGGAGGGAGGGGAGGAGGGGGAAGAGGAGGGAGGGGAGGAGGGGGGGUGGGGGGGGGAGGAGAGG
rnacentral:lncRNA from 1 species